GAAAUGCGAUAAGUAAUGUGAAUUGCAGAAUUCAGUGAAUCAUCGAAUCUUUGAACGCACAUUGCGCCCGCCAGUAUUCUGGUGGGCAUGCCUGUUCGAGCGUCAUUACAACCCUCAGGCCCCCGGGCCUGGCGUUGGGGAUCGGCGGAAGCCCCCUGCGGGCACAACGCCGUCCCCCAAAUACAGUGGCGGUCCCGCCGCAGCUUCCAUUGCGUAGUAGCUAACACCUCGCAACUGGAGAGCGGCGCGGCCACGCCGUAAAACACCCAACUUCUGAAUGUUGACCUCGAAUCAGGUAGGAAUACCCGCUGAACUUAAGC
rnacentral:misc_RNA from 1 species